rnacentral:rRNA from 1 species
AUGACUUUAUUUGAUGAUAAUCCCACUAUGUUGGAAGAGUGUCAACUUUGCAUGCAUGACGAUCGUGUAGAUAAUAUGUUAUGUGAUAGAUAUAUUGUUGAAUUUAAAUAUGAUCCUACACGCAAAUAUUGUGAGAGAGGAAAAUAUGGUCAUAGAAAUCUUCAUGUUACUAAAUUACCUCUCUUGAUGCUUGAAUUGUUAAAGUUUUAUUCUUCUUCCUUGCAUAUGCUAGUUUUUGCUUGCCUUGAUAAUUUGUUUGCUUAUAAAAUGCCUAUGCAUAGGAAGUCUGUUAGACUUAGAUGUCUUUGUCAUGUGCUAUAUGAUGCUCUCUUUGUGCUUCAAUUCUCGUCUUUCGUUGAGCAUCAUCAAAAUUAUCAAUGCCUAGCUAAAAGGCUUUAA